rnacentral:rRNA from 1 species
UACAGAGGUGGCAAGCGUUGUUCGGAAUUACUGGGCGUAAAGGGCUCGUAGGCGGCCAACUAAGUCGGACGUGAAAGCCCCGGGCUCAACCUGGGAACUGCAUUUGAAACUGGCGGGCUUGAGUGUGGCAGAGGGGGGGGGUGGAAUUCCGCGUGUAGCAGUGAAAUGCGUAGAGAUGCGGAGGAACACCGAUGGCGAAGGCAGCCCCCUGGGCCAACACUGACGCUCAGGCACGAAAGCGUGGGGAGCAAACAGG